UCCCUGGAGGACUAGCGGUUAGUUAGGCUUCGACGCUCUCACCGCCGUGGCCCGGGUUCGAUUCCCGUCCAGGGAU